UACGUAGGGGGCGAGCGUUGUCCGAAGUUACUGGGCGUAAAGCGCGCGUAGGCGGUUAUUUAAGUUCGGGGUGAAAGGUUCAGCGCUCAACGCGAACAGUGCCUUGAAUACUGGAUGACUUGAGUUCGGGAGAGGGCAGUGGAAUUCCUGGUGUAGCGGUGAAAUGCGUAGAUAUCAGGAGGAACACCGAUGGCGAAGGCAGCUGCCUGGCCUAGAACUGACGCUGAGGUGCGAAAGCGUGGGGAGCGAACAGG
rnacentral:rRNA from 1 species